CGUGGUCUUCUCUGGCUUCCAUAUUGCAGCGGUGAGCUCGGGAGGCCGCCCGGUUACUAAACGCCGACCUACCCCGCGUUACUCGCCGGCCUCGCCUUCUGUCUGCGGAGCUCGGUCACAGGGGAGCCCGGGCCGGACACCUUGUCCCCACGGGGGGGGACCGGGACAUGGCUACCCAGGUGGAGGCUCCGCUGCUGCCCGCGAACCCGCUGCCGCCCCUGCAGCAGCAUGAGGAGGAGGAGGUGGUAGUGGCGGACGGGGUCAAGCUGGCCAAGGAGGAGGCUGUGUGCCAGGAGGGCGAGGAAGGCCGCAGGGAGUUCGUGGAGGCUCCCCCACCUAAGGUGAACCCCUGGAUCAAGUCAAGCGGAGGCCAUGGCGGGCCGGUGAAUGGACAGCUACCGCUAGGUAAGUGCCCCCCUGUGCGAGCAUGCACCGGGCAUGGACGGGGGUGGGGGGAGAGGACAUGGG